CCUUUAAUAUUCCUACACCUGCUAUGCAUUAAAAGUGACGCAGGGCCGUGGUUGCUACGUACGGACGGAAGUGUACGUUGAGCCGAGUCUUCGGACAAAGCGAAGCAAUAAAAGCCCUGCCAAGAAAAGCGAGCAUAGCGGCCAGUACCGCAAACCGACACAGGUAGACGGGAUGAGUAUUCUAAGGCGCUCGGGUGAGCCGUGGAGAAGGAACUAGGCAAAUUGACGCUGUAACUUCGGGAUAAAGCGUACCGCAGCGAUGCGGUCUCAGUAAAAUGGUUCAACCAACUGUUUAACAAAAACACAGGGCCCUGCAAAAUCGAAAGAUGACGUAUAGAGCCUGAUACCUGCCCGGUGCCGGAAGGUUAAGGAAGGAUGUUCGGAGCAAUCCAAAGCUUCUGACUGAAGCCCCGGUAAACGGCGGCCGUAACAAUAACGGUCCUAAGGUAGCGAAAUUCCUUGUCGGGUAAGUUCCGACCUGCACGAAUGGUCUAAUGAGUUGAACACUGUCUCCUCCACGAGCCCGGUGAAAUUGUAGUAUCGGUGAAGAUGCCGGUUACCCGCCACGGGACGGAAAGACCCCGUGAACCUUCACUACAACUUUGCAUUGAUUUUGAGCAACAAAUGUGUAGGAUAGUUGGGAGACUUUGAAGCUGCCUCGCCAGGGGUGGUGGAGUCAACGUUGAAAUACCAACCUUUUGUUGCUUAGAACCUAACCCCUUACGGGGGACAUUGCAUGGUGGGUAGUUUGACUGGGGUGGUCGCCUCCUAAAAAGUAACGGAGGCUCGCAAAGGUACCCUCAGUACGGUUGGUAAUCGUACAUAGAGCGUAUUAGUAAAAGGGUGCUUGACUGUGAGGCAAACACGCCGAGCAGGAGCGAAAGCUGGCUAAAGUGAUCCGGUGGUUCUGCAUGGAAGGGCCAUCGCUCAAAGGAUAAAAGGUACUCCGGGAUAACAGGCUGAUCUUACCCAAGAGCUCAUAUCGACGGUAAGGUUUGGCACCUCGAUGUCGGUUCGUCACAUCCUGGGGCUGGAGAAGGUCCCAAGGGUUCGGCUGUUCGCCGAUUAAAGUGGCACGUGAACUGGGUUCAGAACGUCGCAAGACAGUUCGGUCCCUAUCUGUGGUGGGCGCUAGUAAAUUGAGUGGACAUGCUCUUAGUACGAGAGGACCGGAGCGUACGUACCGCUGGUGUAUCUGUUGUGCCGCCAGGUGCAAUGCAGAGUAGCUAUGUACGGCCAGGAUAAACGCUGAAAGCAUCUAAGCGUGAAACCUUCCACAAGAUGAGUUUACUUUUAAGGGUCGUCAAAGACGAUGACGUUGAUAGGCUACAGGUGUAAAUUUGGUAACAGGUUAGCCGAGUAGUACUAAUUGCCCGUAUGCCAAA
rnacentral:rRNA from 1 species